UACGUAGGGUGCGAGCGUUAAUCGGAAUUACUGGGCGUAAAGCGUGCGCAGGCGGUUUUGUAAGGCAGAUGUGAAAUCCCCGGGCUUAACCUGGGAAUGGCAUUUGGGACUGCAAGGCUGGAGUGUGGCAGAGGAGACUGGAAUUCCUGGUGUAGCAGUGAAAUGCGUAGAUAUCAGGAGGAAUACCGAUGGCGAAGGCAGGUCUCUGGGCUGACACUGACGCUCAUGCACGAAAGCGUGGGGAGCAAACAGG
rnacentral:rRNA from 1 species